rnacentral:lncRNA from 1 species
GCUCUCUCUGGUCAGAACCAUCUUUGUUACAUGACUUUAUGCCACGGGUGAGCAGUGAACAGCAUACUACAGAUAAAGGAGUUACAUCUUGAAACAAGAGGCUACAGAGACUCACGACCCACGUGGUCCCUUUCAAUAAUAUACUCAUGAUGAAUAAGUGAGCCUUUCACUAGACAUGUUCCUUCUGAGGACUGAGCCUCCAGCACACAGACUCAGGAACCUUAGUCCGGUUCUGGCAGCUGACCCAAGCAAAGGAUGUUAAUGCCCACUGGAUGCACACACAUUCUUGUGUCACACAGCUGCCGCUUGCUCACUGUGGGUAAAUGCCAAAUGCAUCUGGAAGAAGAGUUUUGAAAACAAUUCGACAGCCUGAAAGGUUCCAACAAUAAAACAGAACUCUUUACAUGGCAAAGCCAAACAAAUAACUCAGAUUGAACAAGAACUGGACCAAAAGAAAACGGAUGCAACAUUUUUAACUUUACGACUUGGAGGAUCUGGUUACAACUCCAGCCACCUGCAGCACGGAGGGAAAGACACCUGGCACUUUGCCAGGAAGCACUCUGCCCUGUGGAUGUGCUAACAAGAUUCCUAGGCUGUUUUCAUCCCUUUGUGCUCUGCCCUUUUCUGACUUACUAUUUUUCUCCAAAAGGCUUGUAGCUUUAAUAAAAAUGGUGUUAGUGAAUGAAAGCA